AUCUCUCUCUCUUAUAGUCUUUGUUUGGUUGCUCAGAAAAUUUUGAAUUCUAAUUUUACUUUUUGGAUGUCAUAUGAUUGACUGAGGUGGUGCUAACUUUUGGUUGGUUGGUCAGAAAUGUGAGGAAACAUUUUCAUACCCAUUGGUUUUCCCUCUUUUGCUAGUUUGGCUUCAAAAGAAAAUUCUUUUCUGUGGUUAUCUGGGUUUGACGUUUUGGGAGGAUUUUGUUGAUAAUUAGCUUUUGUUUCCUUUUCUAGACUGAGUUUGUCAACUGUGUAAUUGUUGAAGCUCUAAAGGUGGAUAGUCUGCAGAAACUUUGUUCAUCAUUGGAGCCUAUUCUCCGGAGAGUUGUAAGAUAAUUUUUCUUAUGAAUUUUGCUGUUUUCCAUGAAGAUUUAGGAUAGUUGCUUCCAACAUGUUUAGAACUCCUUCGAAGGAUUGAAGAAGUGUCUCUGCUGUUUGGUUGGAGUGUUGGACAUGCUAAGUGAAAUUCUUGUAUGUUGAUUUAUAAUUUUGGACAGCUAGGGAAUUUCAUUAACAUAGAGCCCUUGGAAUAGUAUAACAACAAGAUUUUCUCUUGCUGAGCAGCAAAAAUGGCUUUGGCUUCUUCUGUAAAAGUGGUUCUAGGCUCAAUUGCUUUUGCAAUCUUCUGGGUAUUGGCAGUUUUCCCAGAUGUUCCUUUUCUACCAGUUGGGAGGACUGAAUAUGAUGCAAUUGAUCUUCAAAUCCUUGGUCUUCUCUUUGGGACCAUGGUUGUCAGUGUAUAUGGUUGUCAGUGAACAUGAUGAUACAAUGAAGGAGCUAUUUGUCAACUCAAAGUUAUAAACUUCUUAUGCUUUCUUUUCUUAUUU